rnacentral:rRNA from 1 species
AUGAGUUAAGUAUAAACCCCUUAACAAGUAUCAAUUGGAGGGCAAGUCUGGUGCCAGCAGCCGCGGUAAUUCCAGCUCCAAUAGCGUAUAUUAAAGUUGUUGCAGUUAAAAAGCUCGUAGUUGGAUUUCUGUUAAUACUUGCAUGUGCUAUCAUCGAUACGCGUGUAAUAUUAGCAUCAUCCGCGUCACCUUCGGUGUGCGGAACUUUACUUUGAGAAAAUUAGAGUGCUUAAAGCAGGCUUUUGCCUUGAAUACUCCAGCAUGGAAUAAUAUGAAGGAUUUUUAUCUUUCUUAUUGGUUCUAAGAUAAAAAUAAUGGUUAAUAGGGACAGUUGGGGGCAUUUGUAUUUAACAGUCAGAGGUGAAAUUCUUAGAUUUGUUAAAGACAAACUAGUGCGAAAGCAUUUGCCAAGGAUGUUCUCAUUAAUCAAGAACGAAAGUUAGGGGAUCGAAGACGAUCAGAUACCGUCGUAGU